GAGUUAAAGGAAUAGGAUCACUAACAUACUUAUCUUAGUACACAUACGAUAUACAUGAUCCAUUUGAUGAGCCAGACUAGGAGGUUAUCACUACUUCAUUAUCCUUAUUGAUGAGCAGUCAUAGUAUAGGUAUGUAUGUGAGAUACAAAUCUGAAAGACUUUGAAUGAUUCAAAGAAUUCAGAUAUGAAGUAGAAAAACUAAAUUAAAAAUUUUUUAAAAAUAUUUCAA
rnacentral:lncRNA from 1 species